rnacentral:lncRNA from 1 species
GCUGCUCUCAAAAGAUUUUAUAAUAUCAGCCUUAAAAAUCGCAUUUCUUUGGCAAAUUUCUCCAGCAUAAAGGCAGCCAUAAACUGGAAGAAAAAAUGCCUUUAGGCUUACGAAUUCUUCCUUCUCUCAAGCAUCAAAAUGCUGUUAUUUUGAGAAGCGUCUGUGUUCAUUGUUUCUCUGAAAUCUGAACUUUUUCCACUUGGAGACAGUUAACUCCCUGAGAAUCUUGCAGGAACGGUAUUAGAUGUUGAUCUCCUUGCAGGAGGACGGGGUGAAGCAGACAGCCAGGCCACAUCGAUCUGGGCUGCAGGAUGUGUUUAGUGAAAAAUCUAUAGGGCUCAGCUUAGGGUGUCAGCUGUCAGUCUGCAGAGCAUCUGUCAGAGGAGUAUUUGCUUCACUGCCGCUGAAUAGCCCUCAGAAAGCUGAACAGAGGCACCCAGAGGACCGUGAAUAUUGGCAGAACUCCUCAAGAUUGAUUUGUGCAGUGUUGGAAGAUGAUAGUAGAUGGGCUUCAGCCUGGAUCUGUCAUCUCACAGUGGUAAAGGAAGGGUAGUAGUCUGUUUCAGGUGAAAAGACAGGAAUGAUUUCUAUGGCUAUCCUUUUGGAGGUAUAGCUUGUGUUCCUCAAACUUGUUGUGGACCAUGGACUGGAAUAUUUCUGUUACCCUACAUUCAGAAGCAGUUUGGAGAGUGAUUCCAAUCCUUCCCUACGUUUCCCUUAAGGCACAUGUAUACAGAAAUACAUGCCAUGCGUAAUACAGUUGCCAGAGGUUGAGCACGUCAAGUUCACUCAGGCCUCAAGAACCCACAGAUGUUUCAAAUCAAAAUGUUACCUUAAUAGGAAUAAUGAGGUGCUUGAGAGAAUAUUUUGGUCUGUACCAUUUGAAUGGGAAAAAUUAUCUUCUCUGUACCCUGGGCAUUCUGUUCAUCUGAGCAUCUUUGGCUCAACCCCCUUCCCAUAAGUUAUCCAGAGAAGAAAGCUGGUGAUUUUUCUCUACUGCAAUUAUGGGUGUAAUUUACUACCUUAAAAACAUCCAGAUACACAGUAAGGUAUUCUGAACCAACACUGAGCGAUCUGUUUCCAGUGCUGGUGGACUGGGGUGUAGCCAUCUUUCAGGGUACAUAUGCAACAGUGCCAGACAGCAGGUGCACAGCUGCCUACGGUGGGAGGAAUUUUGAAGAAAAGUAGUCCCAGGUGUACUUUAUUUCACCUUGGGCACAGCAAAAGCAUGUCUUGCACAAACAGAUGGAUUCCAGUCUGGGUUUGUCAUGUUGAGAAGAUGGUAGCUCCUUUUCAGAGAAAGGAAGGAACUGCACCUGUUGGAGACCUGCUGCCUAAAAGGUCAUGGGAGAAGACAGAAAGCAUUUUUACACAGCAUCUCACUCUUCCUGGGAGAGUCCUUGGAGUCUAGGCUACAACAUUUGCUGGAUGUAAUUCUCUCUCUGUUUAACUGAGAGGAUUUUUCCUCCUCACACUACCAUUCCUUAGAGAGUCUAUCUCAUGCUGAGAGGCUUUGCAUAGUUAAUAAUUAAUUAUAUGUAAUUUCAAAAUAGUGCUUUGAAAUUAUUUCCUUUUGUUUAUUUUAUGAAACAGCAACAAAACAAACACAGCACAUUCCCCCAAAUUACAGUGUUUACUGACAUAUUUUACUUGAGAUUGUUCUUUUAUGGGAAAUUACACAGCUUGUUAGUUUCUGGAAUAAUUGAUAUCCAAUGGUGUAAUCAAAUCACAGGCUAUAAAUAAAAGGAAUUUUAAGGUAUGAAAUCUUCAUUGAGCCUGUCUCCCAAAGCAUCCUCUUUUUUUGGAUGCAUCUUGCUAGCUCAACAAAAUCCAGUUUAUGUGUUUUGCAUAAAAUGUUUACCCUCCAGAAUGACCGUUCCUAUAAGUAACAGAAUAUCAAAUGUUUUAGGCAUAUUGUAUUAAAAUCAUAUGAACACACUGACUGCUUAGAGGUUAUUCUCAAAAGAGACUAAUGAAGACACACUCAGCAAUAACAUUUACAAAUAGAAAGGCUGAGACAGGCCACUGAGCAAGAACACCUUUUUUUUUGAACCUGGAAGUUUUUACAACUAUUUUGGAAGUUACUGUUGUACAUUUUCCUGUCUUCCAAGAGCUUUAAAACAACACUUAACCCAUUCUAUUUCUUCUGCCCAUCUAGAUUUAUACUGCAUUCCUCACUCUGGUAGCUUAGCCUUAUUAUCUCAAGGCGUUAUAUCUAUUCAGAUAUAUCAUCAUUAGGUGAUAGGAGCCCUAUAAAAAUAAAAUUCAGUAAGAUGAAUUGAAUGUGUAGCUACAUACUUAAAGGUCUGAUCUUCAUGAGAUACUGAGAAUUCAUUUCCACUGCUUGUGCUGGUGGUGCAUAUCAACUAAAGAGCUAACAAUAAGUACUUAAGACCAUUUAAAUAUAUGUGGGUGUAUAUAUAUGUAGAAAAAGAAAAAAAAAAUAAUGAGACAUACAUAUUUAGAGACAUAACUAUGUAUAAAUUCAGAUGAUGUCCUUUGAAGAAAAAAUAUUUCAGAGGAAACUCUGGGCUCCUUAGAGGAUGAAGUAGAGUGCCUAGUAAAAGGGGUCAAGCUUAGGCUUGAAAACCAGCAUUUUAUCCAUAAGGAAAACAAUGGGUUAAUUGUAUGUAUGUGUAUGUAUAAAGACAUGUGCGUAUAUUUCUUUGGAUCAAAAUAUAUCUUUAUUUCCUUGCAGUGAAGGUGGAAGACACAGCUUGGCAGCUAACAUUGGCCAGACUUGCAUUAAUGCCCCACGUGUCUGCCAAGUGAAAAUCUGCCGAGUCUCCAAGAGUGUAAACUCUAAUUUCUGCUUCCCUCAGCCUCUUUGCCAGAAAGAAUUCACUGCAUGGAGUCCCUCUUUUGUGGUGUUAGAGCUGAGACCCUCUGAGGGAGUGUCCAUACAUAUAUCAUUUCUAUUCUUCCCACGUGUUUUAAAAUCCACACUCCAAACUGUCAUGCAUUGUCCAUUUCUGUCCAUCACUCAUAUCUGAACAAAACGGAGGGCUAUGAAUAAUGGUAAUGGAAAAAGCAGCAGGCAAAUGUAAUCUACAGAAAUGCUGGGUGGGGAGCAGCAUCUCUGACUGUACUUGACUUGUAUUUAUAUGGGCUGCUAUUAAUAAUAAACAUAGUCUCUACUCCUUUGCCAUAUGAUAAGCAUCAUGUUCAGUAUAGAGUUUCGAGAUUUGGAUCUGUCAUUUAAACUUCUGAAACGAUGCAUACACAACCAGAUCUGAACCAUCUGAACUGUUACAACAGUUCUGUAAAAUCCACAGCAGGGCAAGGUGCUGCUAUCAUGAGAGCUGCAUUUGCUGGCUCUCCAGAGGAAAAGGUCAUGCUGGGCCAGUGUGGUUUUCAGUGCUCAGCUUUCCUUUGGUCAUAUUGUUAGACAUGCAGAAUAUUUAAACAGGUUUAUGGCAACUGGCAAAUCAACUGCUGCGAAAUGAUAUGUAUAACAAGGGACCUAAGGAAAGACUAAAAAUAUAAUCCCUAAUCUAAAGCAUCUGACAUGUUUUCUGGACAGUAGUUUGGUAUUACCCAGAUGUAUGCUCAUAGAGCUGUCUAUGCAAAUCAAAAACAUCCAUCAUACUGAAAGGAGUUUAAUUAUAAAAGUUUUGCUUUUCUAGUGAAACUGGAACUUCAAUUUCAGUUAUUCCUGGUCUCACACCACUUCGUUUCUCCUUCUAAAUUACAUUUUGUUGUAUGUCCAUCAUUCUAAAGCUGUCGGAAUCAUGGUAACACAAAGCUGAUUCCUAAAAAUGGAGAAGGAUGCUAUGUUGCUGAUAGGAAGCAUUCCUUUACCAUUGCAAUAUUUUUAGUUUGUGAAUUUAUGAAAACAGUGGGUAUUCAUGAGGACGGGUAUGAUGAUGUGCAAGUGGUCAGAUCCCGAAGACACUUGAAAGCUGCCACCAUCACAGCCAGCAGCUCAGCUUGAAAGAAGCUUUGGCACCUCUGGUAAUGCCAAAUAACUAACUGACCUUGAGGUGAGCAUUGGGAUUUAGUAACUCAUGUACAAAAACCCCACCAGCUUAGAAGCAGCAAAUUUCAACGUUAUCUUUACACAUGGUAAUUUCUUGCUUUUGCUAGCUUAUUCCCAUGGUCAGGGACCCAGAUGGCCAUGCCUGUGCUAUUAAGAUUUCUGGGGUCAAACUUCUGCCCCUGCCACUGUGACACUGUGUGUUUUGCUCCAAUAAAAGCAGUUUUUAGCACUUCUGCUACACUUAGGGGUAAUUACUUGUGGUACCAGUCUGGUCAGAGAGGUUGGUGCACAAGAUCCUGAUCUGGCUGGCACUGGAGUGGCUCACCCCUGCAAUAGGUGCAAAGAACAGUGCUUUGUCCUGCAAGGGAGGACAACGUGGGCACAGAGGUGACACUGGCCACAGUGCCCCAUAGAAAGAGAAGAGCAAAAUGUCAUUUGCUUGCAUUCCCCUCAAGAAUGGUGUGGGUAUGGGUGUGUGUCUUAAUUGAGAUUUCUAAUCUUUGGCAAAAAAUUCCUUGAAGAAGUAUUUAAUACUACAAAAUAUAUAUUAUUUUAUUAGACUGACUAGAAAAAGCUUGCAGGUUUUCAGAUUUUGUUGAUAGUUUUGUUGUUGUUGACCUUUUUAAAUUUUUUUUGCAAAUGUGACAUAUUUGGAGUGUACCUUUUCUCAGGUGACCCUUAUUAUUAGUCUGCUAGGAGCUUGCUAUUUU